CGAUACGACCGUACCGCAAACCGACACUGGUGCGCGAGAUGAGUAUUCUAAGGCGCUUGAGAGAACUCAGGAGAAGGAACUCGGCAAAUUGACACCGUAACUUCGGAAGAAGGUGUGCCCUAUUAGUGUGUAGUGAACAACGAAGCAUGAAUGGGUUGCAAAAAAUCGGUGGCUGCGACUGUUUAUUAAAAACACAGCACUCUGCAAACACGAAAGUGGACGUAUAGGGUGUGACGCCUGCCCGGUGCUGGAAGAUUAAAUGAUGGGGUGCAAGCUCUUGAUUGAAGUCCCAGUAAACGGCGGCCGUAACUAUAACGGUCCUAAGGUAGCGAAAUUCCUUGUCGGGUAAGUUCCGACCUGCACGAAUGGCGUAACGAUGUCCACACUGUCUCCUCCUGAGACUCAGCGAAGUUGAAAUGUUUGUGAUGAUGCAAUCUCCCCGCGGAAAGACGGAAAGACCCCAUGAACCUUUACUGUAGCUUUGUAUUGGACUUUGAACAGAUCUGUGUAGGAUAGGUGGGAGGCUUUGAAGCAGGGUCGCUAGAUCUUGUGGAGCCAACGUUGAAAUACCACCCUGGUGUGUUUGAGGUUCUAACCUAGGUCCAUUAUCUGGAUCGGGGACAGUGCAUGGUAGGCAGUUUGACUGGGGCGGUCUCCUCCCAAAGCGUAACGGAGGAGUUCGAAGGUACGCUAGUUACGGUCGGACAUCGUGACGAUAGUGCAAUGGCAUAAGCGUGCUUAACUGCGAGACUGACAAGUCGAGCAGAUGCGAAAGCAGGACAUAGUGAUCCGGUGGUUCUGUAUGGAAGGGCCAUCGCUCAACGGAUAAAAGGUACUCUGGGGAUAACAGGCUGAUACCGCCCAAGAGUUCAUAUCGACGGCGGUGUUUGGCACCUCGAUGUCGGCUCAUCUCAUCCUGGGGCUGUAGCCGGUCCCAAGGGUAUGGCUGUUCGCCAUUUAAAGAGGUACGUGAGCUGGGUUUAAAACGUCGUGAGACAGUUUGGUCCCUAUCUUCCGUGGGCGCUGCAGAUUUGAGGAAGCCUGCUCCUAGUACGAGAGGACCGGAGUGGACACACCUCUGGUGUAUCGGUUGUCACGCCAGUGGCAUUGCCGAGUAGCUAAGUGUGGAAGAGAUAACCGCUGAAAGCAUCUAAGCGGGAAACUCGUUUCAAGAUGAGAUCUGCCGGGGCCUUGAGCCCCCUAAAGAGUCGUUCAAGACCAGGACGUUGAUAGGUCAGGUGUGGAAGCG
rnacentral:rRNA from 1 species